rnacentral:rRNA from 1 species
CAGUAGCCACGGUAAUACAGAGGGUGCGAGCGUUAAUCGGAUUUACUGGGCGUAAAGCGUGCGUAGGCGGCUUUUUAAGUCGGAUGUGAAAUCCCUGAGCUUAACUUAGGAAUUGCAUUCGAUACUGGGAAGCUAGAGUAUGGGAGAGGAUGGUAGAAUUCCAGGUGUAGCGGUGAAAUGCGUAGAGAUCGGAAGGAACAUCUGUGGCGAAGGCGACUAUCUGGGCCAACACUGACACUGAGGCACGAAAGCGUGGGGAGCAAACAGGAUUAGAUACCCCGGUAGUCCCUGUCUCUUAUAC